rnacentral:rRNA from 1 species
GAUGAACGCUGGCGGCGUGCCUAAUACAUGCAAGUCGAGCGAACAGACGAGGAGCUUGCUCCUCUGACGUUAGCGGCGGACGGGUGAGUAACACGUGGAUAACCUACCUAUAAGACUGGGAUAACUUCGGGAAACCGGAGCUAAUACCGGAUAAUAUAUUGAACCGCAUGGUUCAAUAGUGAAAGACGGUUUUGCUGUCACUUAUAGAUGGAUCCGCGCCGCAUUAGCUAGUUGGUAAGGUAACGGCUUACCAAGGCAACGAUGCGUAGCCGACCUGAGAGGGUGGGAGGCAAACCGGUAACGAUCACACGGGUAAGGAGACGGAGGGAGGGAGCAGUAGGGAAGCUGUCAUAAAGAUCGAAAGAUGGACGAAGCAAAUUAUUAGGAAGGAUAAAGGUAUUAGGAUCGUAAGAAUCUGUUAACGGGGAAGAACAAAUGUGCAAGUAACUAUGCACAGCUUGAAGGGACGUAAUCAGAACGGCACGGCUAACUACGGG